UAGGGAAUCUUCCGCAAUGGGCGAAAGCCUGACGGAGCAACGCCGCGUGAGUGAUGAAGGUCUUCGGAUCGUAAAACUCUGUUAUUAGGGAAGAACAAAUGUGUAAGUAACUAUGCACAUCUUGACGGUACCUAAUCAGAAAGCCACGGCUAACUACGUGCCAGCAGCCGUGGUAAUACGUAGGUGGCAAGCGUUAUCCGGAAUUAUUGGGCGUAAAGCGCGCGUAGGCGGUUUUUUAAGUCUGAUGUGAAAGCCCACGGCUCAACCGUGGAGGGUCAUUGGAAACUGGAAAACUUGAGUGCAGAAGAGGAAAGUGGAAUUCCAUGUGUAGCGGUGAAAUGCGCAGAGAUAUGGAGGAACACCAGUGGCGAAGGCGACUUUCUGGUCUGUAACUGACGCUGAUGUGCGAAAGCGUGGGGAGCGAACAGG
rnacentral:rRNA from 1 species